rnacentral:tRNA from 1 species
GGGCAAUUGGUUUAGUGGUUAUAAUAACCGCUUAGCAUGUGGUAGGUCCUGUGUUCGAUUCCUAGAUCGUCCA